UACGUAGGGGGCUAGCGUUAUCCGGAAUUACUGGGCGUAAAGGGUGCGUAGGCGGUCUUUCAAGCCAGAAGUGAAAGGCUACGGCUCAACCGUAGUAAGCUUUUGGAACUGUAGGACUUGAGUGCAGGAGAGGAGAGUGGAAUUCCUAGUGUAGCGGUGAAAUGCGUAGAUAUUAGGAGGAACACCAGUAGCGAAGGCGGCUCUCUGGACUGUAACUGACGCUGAGGCAAGAAAGCGUGGGGAGCGAACAGG
rnacentral:rRNA from 1 species